rnacentral:tRNA from 1 species
GCGGGUGUGGUGGAAUUGGUAGACGCGCUGGAUUCAAAAUCCAGUGUCCUCUGGACGUGUCGGUUCGAGUCCGACCACCCGCACCA